rnacentral:rRNA from 1 species
CAGUAGCCGCGGUAAUACGUAGGGCGCAAGCGUUGUCCGGAAUUAUUGGGCGUAAAGAGCUCGUAGGCGGUCUGUCGCGUCUGGUGUGAAAUCCCGAGGCUCAACCUCGGGCUUGCAUCGGGUACGGGCAGACUAGAGUGCGGUAGGGGAGACUGGAAUUCCUGGUGUAGCGGUGGAAUGCGCAGAUAUCAGGAGGAACACCGAUGGCGAAGGCAGGUCUCUGGGCCGCAACUGACGCUGAGGAGCGAAAGCAUGGGGAGCGAACAGGAUUAGAUACCCCCGUAGUCCCUGUCUCUUAUAA